rnacentral:ncRNA from 15 species
AUCCUUCUGGUUCAUACAAGUGAUGACUGGGUUUUCACGCGUUUGUGUGAGAUGUGCCGCCCUUACUUUUCUUGUUACGCAUAGGUACAUUACCCGUCUGAUU